CAGCCGCCGCGGUAAUACGUAGGGUGCGAGCGUUAAUCGGAAUUACUGGGCGUAAAGCGUACGCAGGCGGUUCGUUAAGACAGAUGUGAAAUCCCCGGGCUUAACCUGGGAACUGCAUUUGUGACUGGCGAGCUAUAGUAUGGCAGAGGGGGGUAGAAUUCCACGUGUAGCAGUGAAAUGCGUAGAGAUGUGGAGGAAUACCGAUGGCGAAGGCAGCCCCCUGGGCCAAUACUGACGCUCAUGCACGAAAGCGUGGGGAGCAAACAGGAUUAGAUACCCCUGUAGUCCCUGUCUCUUAUAC
rnacentral:rRNA from 1 species